rnacentral:rRNA from 1 species
GAUGAACGCUAGCUACAGGCUUAACACAUGCAAGUCGAGGGGCAUCACAGUGUAGCAAUACACGGGUGGCGACCGGCGCACGGGUGCGUAACACGUAUCCAAUCUGCCCGUUACUCGGGGAUAGCCUUCUGAAAGGAAGAUUAAUACCCGAUGGCAUGUAUUUCCGGCAUCGGAGAUACAUUAAAGAUUUAUUGGUAACGGAUGAGGAUGCGUACGAUUAGCUAGUUGGCGGGGUAACGGCCCACCAAGGCUACGAUCGUUAGGGGUUCUGAGAGGAAGGUCCCCCACACUGGAACUGAGACACGGUCCAGACUCCUACGGGAGGCAGCAGUGAGGAAUAUUGGUCAAUGGGCGCGAGCCUGAACCAGCCAAGUAGCGUGAAGGAUGACUGCCCUACGGGUUGUAAACUUCUUUUGUUUGGGAAUAAAUGAUACUACGUGUAGUAUUUUGCAUGUACCUUACGAAUAAGCAUCGGCUAAUUCCGUGCCAGCCGCCGCGGUAAUAC